rnacentral:rRNA from 1 species
GAUGAACGCUGGCGGCGUGCCUAAUACAUGCAAGUCGAGCGAACAGACGAGGAGCUUGCUCCUCUGACGUUAGCGGCGGACGGGUGAGUAACACGUGGAUAACCUACCUAUAAGACUGGGAUAACUUCGGGAAACCGGAGCUAAUACCGGAGAAUAUAUUGAACCGCAUGGUUCAAUAGUGAAAGACGGUUUUGCUGUCACUUAUAGAUGGAUCCGCGCCGCAUUGGCUAGUUGGUAAGGUAACGGCUUACCAAGGCAACGAUGCGUAGACGACGGGAGAGAGUGGUCGGCCACAUUGGAACUGGAACAGGGUCCAGACUCCUACGGGAGGGCGCAGUAGGGAAUCUUCCGCAAUGGGCGAAAGCCUGACGGAGCAACGCCGAGUGAGUGAUGAAGGUCUUCGGAUCGUAAAACUCUGUUAUUAGGGAAGAACAAAUGUGUAAGUAACUAUGCACGUCUUGACGGUACCUAAUCAGAAAGCAACGGCUAACUACGUG